rnacentral:rRNA from 1 species
GACGAACGCUGGCGGCGUGCUUAACACAUGCAAGUCGAACGGAAAGGCCCUGCUUUUGUGGGGUGCUCGAGUGGCGAACGGGUGAGUAACACGUGAGUAACCUGCCCUUGACUUUGGGAUAACUUCAGGAAACUGGGGCUAAUACCGGAUAGGAGCUCCUGCUGCAUGGUGGGGGUUGGAAAGUUUCGGCGGUUGGGGAUGGACUCGCGGCUUAUCAGCUUGUUGGUGGGGUAGUGGCUUACCAAGGCUUUGACGGGUAGCCGGCCUGAGAGGGUGACCGGCCACAUUGGGACUGAGAUAAGGCCCAGACUCCUACGGGAGGCAGAAGUGGGGAAUAUUGAACAAUGGGCGGAAGCCUGAUGCAGCAACGCCGCGUGCGGGAUGACGGCCUUCGGGUUGUAAACCGCUUUCGCCUGUGACGAAGCGUGAGUGACGGUAAUGGGUAAAGAAGCACCGGCUAACUACGUG